GAUGAAAUCAAUGAGAGUGCAAUACAUGCAGCUGCCUUAGCAAAAUGAAGAAAAUGCUGUAGACUGUGCCAUAUACUCGAUGAGGCAUAUGCAGAUUUACACAGGCACAUCAAUAGAAGACUGGAAUGCAGGACUCACUGGAGGCCCUGAAGAUAAUACAUUCCUCACAUCACUGAGAGCUAAAUAUGCCGCAACCAUACUCAUGUCAGAAUGGAAUACCCUUCUACCAGAAGUGACAAAUGCAGCCAAAGAAAUAUACAAACAAUCAAAGUGACCGUGUUUGUAAAGAUGUUGAUUUUUGUAAACUGAAAUUGAAACAAGUAUCUGAGAUGUGUUCUUUAUUUUGGAAACUACUCUAACUCUGAAAUGAAAAAAAGCUUUUUGUCACAUCUUA